AUAGCAAUCUAAACAGUAGUACUAUGAGGAAUAAUAAGAUUUUAACUCUAUGAUUCAUAAAACAUAUGAUUUCAUAGCAGGUAUCCUGGGACACACAAAAGUGUGUCACAAAAACCUAAGAGUAAAAUGUCACAGCAACUAAGCUACCUUGCAGCUCUGGCUCCUUUCUAUUUGCCCUCUACCUUUGCCUAACAUCCUGAUUCAAAACCCCAAACUCCACAAUGAACACACAGAAGAUGCCACAGAUAUGAGUUCUAGCAGAGAAACAAAGAAGCAACUACUUUUCAUCUUUAUCUGUCUUCACUGUUGUCAAAUGUUUCAAACAUACAAAAGAUACAAGAUGUUCUACAAACAAAAGGUCCCAAGUGAAUGGUAAACUAUUCACUACCUUUGGCAUGCUCAAAAGGGUUUAACACCUAUGAAAAAUUAUUAUCUCAGCAAUUAAAAAGAAACCAUCAUUGGAAUGAGUCAGAAUUCUCUCCCCAUGGCCCAAUCUUCUUCAACCAAUUAUGAUGUCCAAAGAUUCCAAACUGUGAAUGCACAAGAGGUAAGGACAAUACUUUGCUUCACCCGCAUCAUUGGAAUUCUCAAAAAAGGAAGCAUCCCUAGCACAAUAUACAGUUGAGACUUCUCCUAUGCAACAGCAAUAAAGGCAAUUUUCUUUAUCACGGGUGCUCCACUACGAAAACCAAGUUCUUCUAGCUGUAACAGUGAGUUGAUGAAACUCCCACUUCGAUGAAGAGUCUAGAGCAGUUCUCAGAUUAGGAAAAUCCAGGAACAGGAGCUCCAAGGUCCAUGAAAUUGUGUCCUGAGAUGCCACAGAGGACCCUGAAGAUUGUAUCAUCACAGAAACACAACUCAGGAGAUAGCUACUGAGAAGAAAGACAACUCAAUUUUGCCCCAUUUCCUGGUACACCAUAUAGAGCAAAGAAAGGUUGAGAAUGAUGUCCAGAAACUGAAAGAUUGAUCCUAAGAGGUUUCAAACUCAAGAACUGGAGUUAGUCUGGAAUAUUGCUGGAACCUCAGCCACAACGGGAGAGGGGCUCCAGGAGAGAUUCUGGAAUCUUGAGAGGAGAUUCUGUGGAAGAGGCAGUUAGCUCUCAAUCCAGAGAUAGCCUGAGGAAAAGGUCUGGGCAAGACUUGCUCCUGAGAAAAGUCUUACAUCUUUCUCUUGGUGACUGGACACCUUUACUCCCCUCAAUUCCCACCGAAGUGGCCAGCUGGAGAAGACACAAAGCAGCUGACAAGAAGAUCACCUCACAGUUACUGGUGCACUGGGUCUGAACUGUGCCCAGUGGGGCCAAGACCAGUGCCAUCCAAGCCUGAAUCUCUCAGGGCCCAAGGCUGCCAAGGCUUGGGUUCCCCAACUUGAGAAGGGAGGAAGGAAUAGUUAGAAUAGGGACACUUUUUUUCCCUCUUUCCUCACAAACCUCUCCUGCAGCCAUUUCCCUGUGUUAUCCCAAUUGAUCAGUUAGUUUUUUUCUUCCCCAACUGAUUCUAGUGUAAGUGGGGAAACAGUUCCUGCUUGAGGGGAAAAGUAACUUCUCUCUCUCUGAGGAGGGAAGCUCUAUCUAUCAUAGUAUAUUAGAGGGAAGUCAAGAGGCAGUUUGGGUGAGCAGCCAUAGCUGAGGGGAGGCUGAAGUGGGGAGGAACUACGGACUUGCUCCCCCUCUUCUCUCCCUCAGCCAAGUUAAACAGCAGCUAUCUCUCCUGGACCCCGCCUUGAGAAGGGAGGUCUCCAUUCUUUCUCUCUUUACCACCAGACUAACCCUCUAUUACAUCUCCCAUCAAAACUUGCUUUCAAAAGGACCUAAUAAAUUCAUUCUUGAAAAAUGAUAUAAAUGAAUGAGAAAGAUUAAGCAUUGUAUUUCCCAAAGAGAUAUGUAGCAGAUAAAUCAAGUAUAGAAUUUCAAGCUUUUGCUAGCCUUGUUGGUGGAGAGGAGUAUUUUUUGGUCUACAUGAUUCUUAUAGGCCUAUUUGUCUUUGUAACUUUUUAACAAGUCAAUUAACCACCCAGAGCCUCGGUUUCUAUAUCUAUUAAAUGUAAUAAUCCUUGUUACUAAUUCUUAGAAUGUUGAGAAUGAAAGAAGAUAAAAGAUAUUAUGUAAACAGUCUGAGAACAUAAAAGUGCCACAUAAAUGCAAGGAAGGUGGUGGCACAGAAUUAAUUUUCAUGACAAUCUAACUCAAAGAAAGAGAAAUCUUUUAAAAGGCACCAUUAUAAAAGGAUCAGACUGUGGGGUGAGAGUAUGGAUUCAAGUCAUAAUAACACAUUUAAAUAGUAAAGUGGUUUCUUCAUAACAAUCCUCUAAGAAUGGCAUCACAAAUAAAAUUAUAAUAAUGCCCAUGAGUCUCCAAAGUUAUCACUUGCCAAAAGGGGCACAGUGUAUGAAACAAAAGCAUUGUUCCCUGUAAACCCAUGCUUGUCACUUCAUUAUACUUGCACCUCCAUGCCUUCUUUUGUAAGAAAAGGGAGUUGAACUAGAAGAUUAAGGACCCUUCCAAAUCUAAAAAUCUGUGAUUAAAAUUUCUUCUAAGAAAUAAUGUCUCAUUCUCGGUGACCCAAACUGGACCCAAAUUACCUGUACUAAUGAUGUCUUCUGGUAGCUCAUCUCCACAGUAUCUGGAAGGAAAAAAAGAAAAUAAAUGAUUCACGGAUUAUUACUUGGUCUUUACUACUGGUAAAUAUGACUUAUUUCCCCUUAAGCAGUGAUUAGUUUUUUUUUCAAUUGAGGUAAAUUUUUUUCAGAAAUUAUCAUCAACUGACUGAAUAAUUAGGUUUAAAAGUGAGAGAAAGGACAAGGGGGACAAGAAAUUAGUGUGGCAAUUGAAUGAACCACCUGUCAAAUAACAGUGAACCACCUGUCAAAAUGAAGGAGACAAGUGAAAUAAAGAUUUUGGCAUUUCUUCA